UUUUCUUCAUUUCUAAUUGUCACCUUGUUUCUUCUUCCAAUGUUCAUCUUUUCUUAUUUACAGAACCUCAUUUCUCUUAUAACUAAUAUUAUGUGAAACACUAAUUUGUUACAGCGUUUGGGUUCUUUUUUUCUUUCUCUUAUUCAUUCUCCUUAUAUUUAUGCUACAUGUCGUCAAACUUCAGAGACAAAGAUAUUUACUUAUAUUCUGAGGUCUUCGAGGUUAUGGUUUCAGUUCUUUGAAUCUUUGGGAGAUUUAGGUUUUGCCUUUACCUUGGAAGUUUUCUUUUUCCAUGCAUUGGAGAGAUUGAGUAAAGAGGAAGGAGUUUAAGCUUUACUGCAGGGGUGCUCUGUUUGAUUGGAUGUUGGAUCUUAUGGUUCAAGCAGAAUGCUAGAAUUUCUAAUAAACGUGUCCAGUACUCUACUCUUGUUCUGAGAUAUUGUGAUGCUUUUGGCCUCUUUAUGUGCCUUUUAAUUUUUGGAAACAUGCUAUUACCUAGUUUGCUAAGGAAUUGGAAAGCUAUUAUGUUUAGGCCUUCCCAUUUUCCAAUUUUACAUUCUGGUUUUCCAUUCUUGUUCCUGUACAAUGAUAAUUUAUUUUGGAAUGGGAAAACAUAAAUGUUCUAAACAGAGGCAUCAAAGGGGUGGCACCCAUGUACAAACAAAUAGAGACCAAACUUAGACAAGGGAAUCAAACAAAAAAUUAAUGAUACCCUCAAGGUUUUUGCCAUUAAGGAGUGGAUGACCAUUAAUCAAAAUGCA
rnacentral:lncRNA from 1 species